GAAGGCGUAGCAUUGGAAAUGCUAUGUAGACUCCUGUUUACCGAGGGUUCGAAUCCCUCUCUUUC
rnacentral:tRNA from 1 species